CAGUAGGGUGCCAUCAAGAGGUGUAUUUGGAAAUAUCCCUAAUACAGGAUCACUUGGAUCCGUCGGCGAUGACGAGCGCGAAAGAAUGCGAAAAGUCCUCACGGAAUGCUCUAAUUAUGAGAUAAUCUCAUGGAUACUCCCUGGACUUAAGCAUAUCAUUAAGGGAAGGAAAAGAAACUAACUAGGAUUCCGUUAGUAGUGGCGAAUGAACACGGAAGAGCUCCAAUGGUAAAGCCUAAGUGCUGUUGUAAUGUAGUCUCCGAAAACAUUCUGGAAAGGAUGACCACAGUGGGUGAUAGUCCCAGAGGAGGAUGUAAAGAAUAGAGUAGUGCUGCUUGGUAGUGCAGUAUGAAGAGGAGGUAGAAACUUCUAAAGCUAAAUACAGACGGAUACCGAUAGAGAAGAAGUAGUGCGAACGAAAGUUGAAAAGAUCUCAUCUAGAGAAUGAAAAGUGAAAGUAUUAGGGCGUAAGCUGAUGACAUCAGACCCGUCUUGAAACACGGACC
rnacentral:rRNA from 1 species